GUUUGGAAGAAAAUGUCAGUGUAGCUCUGAGACCCUGAACAGAACACACACUCUUCUCAUCACAUCACAACUGCCAAUCAGACGGAGGGGAGGCGUCAACGAAGGUUAAAUAGAAAUAUUUUGGCCUGUAAGUGAACACAUCCGCUGCACGACUUUGAAGAGGAACAAAAAAGAAGUUUGCUCAUAAGAUCAUCCUUCAUCUUCUCUGGCUCUGCCCUGAGGACAGAAUGAUGUUGUGUUGGAUACUCAUAUCACUGUUUGUUGGAUUUCUUGAUGCACAAGAAAAACCCAUCGUAAUUUAUGCUCAAAUAGGAGGGACUGUUACCCUACAGAGAGUGAAGUUAGAAGGAAAUGAAAAUAAUAUUUAUGUGAACUGGUACCGUGGGUCAGAAAGUACCCCAACUAUCAUGAAGAAUCCUCAGAGUGGGAUCCAAAGGGCGAAAGAAAUGAAGACACAUGCUGAACUGUUGUCAGAUUUCUCUCUCCAAAUCUCACCAGUACAAUAUUCAGAUUAUGAAAUUUGGCGCUGUGUGCAACAUUUUUUGACACAAACUUCAGAAAAGACCUACAAACUGUACAAUGUCACUAUACCCAAAGUGCCGGCUGUGGUGGCUGGUGAACCUCUGACUCUGCAAUGUCAAAUAGACUAUAGUCCACUUACACCCAAAGUAACAUGGAUUCCACCUCAAAACUCAGGUUGUGUUCUAAGCCAAUAUAACACAAAGACAGUUACCAUCAGUGAUGUGUCUAGGUGUCAUAGUGGUGUUUGGACGUGCAAGUUGGUGUAUGAUAAGAGAGAAACUGAAGCAAAAACAACUGUUUUUGUAAUAGAGUUCUCCAAUGUUACAAGUACUGUUUAUACCUCGUCCCCGUUCUCGUCCGCUACAGUUGACAUUCCUUGUUCCUUGUCUUCUAACAUUCCCUGGUCGAUCUUGAAAGAAUCUGGCCUCAGGAGUGGCAGCUGGAGCUUCACUCCUCUCAGCGGCGCAAAGUCAACACAAUCUCUCCUGGACCUCAGAUUGGAUCCAGUGGUCAGUUGGCGCAUCCCACAGGGCGCAAAUAAUACGGUCAAGGCUGAGGAAAGAAAGUUGAAAGACCAGGAUCUAUCCAUUGGUAAUCUGCCUGUAUCAGAGAACGUCAGGGGGGUUUACACAUGCAAUCUAAAAAUUAAGACCAAGACCCUUAGCAGCAGAGUCAAGCUGGAGGUUCUGAAGGUUUCCUCUUCUGGAGGACCUCGAGUAUUUGAAGGCCAAACUGUGAAUCUGACAUGCACACUAGGACGUCAACAUAGCCCUGACCUCGAGGUGAAAUGGAGCUGCUCGUCUUGCUCCUUUGUUUCCAGUCUCAAGUCUCCUCAUCCAACUUUUCUGUCCAUCCCUGAAGUGAAAUUGAAGGACGGCGGGAAAUGGACAUGUGAACUCUUGGGAAAUGGGACGAAGCUGACAUCUGCUGUGCUUUCAUUAAGGAUUGUGAAAGCUCCCGUGGACAUCUGGCUUUGUGUUGCCAUCAGCGGUGGAGUGGUGGGCUUCAUCUUGCUCCUUGUGAUCAUCAUUAUAUGCAUUCGCAGACACAGACAGAUGAUGAUGUACAGACGACGCAAAACCAAAUUCUGCUGCUGCAAUAAUCCCCAGCAGAAUCAAAAGGGAUUCUACAAGACGUGAGGAUCCUCUCUUGCCAGAACUGACUGUCAUCAUUUUGCAGAUGAUGCUGGAAUUUCUUUAUAAUUGUGUCAAAUACUUUCAUAGCCACUUUAUUCUUGAACAUGCUUGAUCACAAGCAAUGUUAU